UGAGGCCUUGGUUGGCUUUGGUGGGUCCUGAUGAAUCGUUGUCUGCAGAUGCUAUGGGUGUCUGAAGGGUGAAGUCAUGUGACCGUUUCGAGACUGUUUCGUUUUGUGUUUGACUUAGCUGGAACUUAGCCUUAGGAGCUGUUGAAUGCGUUAUCGAGUACGUACUGUCGUAUUUUCGACUUAAAGGAGACCUCGAUAUAUCAUAAUCUGGCGAUAUCUAUGACAACAAUUUAACUUGCUGGUGACUCUGGUCGUUGUUGCAGCAAUAUGGUGCGCUUUUCCGAUCUAUGCGAUGCAUCUGUUUGCUAGGAUUCUAGGCGUCUGUUAACCCGCCAUGUAUUUACUCAUAGAGUUUGCUUCCCUUGCUGGCUUCUGGCUGAGCCUGAGUGAUGACGGUGAAUAUUCCAUAGCCGUCUCGCGUAGUUGCUACAGCCGCCGCCGCCUCCCAACCCUAGCUGCCACAGUUGCCACCUUGACACGUGUCGUUUUACUCCCUCCGUCUGGAGAUACUUGUCGGAGAAAUGCAUAAAAAUAAAUGUAUCUAAAACUAAAACUAAAUACAUCUAAAUUCAUUCAUUCCUCUGACAAGUAUUUCUAGACGGAGGGAGUAUUAUUCUUGCUUCUUCGGACCGUUAGUUUUGUUCGAUGCUGUAGGGAAGCCAACCUUAUCGCUGACUGCUUGUCAAAACAUUGCUUUAGUACUAGAGCUUCAAAAUAUUGGGAUUCUUUUCCCCCUGACUUCAUUCUUUCAAAAAUUGUAAAUGAUAUGGUUGUUAUUUCAGGCGCGUGCGAAAAGGUGGUUCGCCGCGCGCUAGUUUUGGUGCGCGGCGUUCGGAGCGCACUAUAAAUUCAGCGCCUCCUCCACGUGCCCUUCCACCGCUCCUACACGCCCUCGCCUUGCCAUGAGCCCUCUGCUGCUCUCUUUCUCACCUUGUCGCCGUCGGGGAAGUUCGGGCUACCGCGGCGUCUGCGCGCCUCUAGUUUCUUCUGUGCCGAGUUCCGGUCCGGUGAGAUGCGCCUCAGCCCUGGCACAUUCGACAUCACCCACGAGGCCGCCCGCGUGUACGACGCGGCAACGUGGCGCCUCCAGUGGCCGCGUAGGGAGAUGAACUUCCUCGACAUGCCGACGCGGGAGCGGGCGCAGGAGCUCGCGCCUUCCCCGCGGCUUAUCACUGACGAGGACCGUCGCGACAACCGGAGGCGGGAGCGCUGUCUCGGCAUCGCCGAGAUGGACGAGGAAGCCAUGGCGCUGUGGCGCCAACGCUUCCCGCGGGACAUCGUCAACGAGCACGAGUUCUACGCGUAAAGGAUGGCGGAGAGGGAGGAGAGGAGGGUGGAGCGAGCCGCCUAUCGCAAGGACAUGCGUACGCGGAAGGCGGCCAUUCUCUUCAACAUCGAGCUAGGAGAAGUGUCGACAUGGGACUCCAAAGACGAGCGGUAUCUUGACGCCUUCAUUGAGUCGGAGGAGGAGAAGAAGGAGGACAUCGCCGAGUCAGAGUCGGUGUCGGAGGAGGAUGAUGACGAGUAGUUGAACUAUUUUUUUAUCUAUCUAUGCUAUGAACUAUCUAUGUAUCGUUUUUAUUAUCUAUCUAUGCCUAUCUAUGGAGUAUCGAGUCGGUGUCGAAUGUGUGUCGAGUCGGUGUCGAAGGAGAAGACGACGAGUAGUAAAAAAUAUAGCGGGCGUCUCCUGGAGCGGCGCGCGUGCAACUUUUUGCAACGGCCGCUGGAGCCAGUGCUCUGCGGCGCGCAAAAACUGGCUACGCUAGCACUGUAAACGUUUUUUAGCGCGCCGCGCGUUGCACGCCUGUUGGAGAUGCUCUUACAACGUCAGAUCGGCUGCCGACGAAGGACGUGUAAGAGUUUGUGUCCGGAUUGGUUCCCUUCAGAUUUUGGGCGUCCGUGUGUUUUUUAAGAAGAGCUUUUGACUGUUUAUUGGUGUGGCGACUUUGACAUCUUGUGUGUUGGUUUGUGGCUUGAUCCGGUUUCUCCAACCCUCUAAAUCUAUGGUGAUGAAUUGUAAACCUGUUCUGCGUGAAUGAUGCUCCAACCGAUGCUGCUUUUUACCGAUUUUUUAUAUCUUGUCUCAAGGGGCGAGUGACUAUUGCAGUGUUUAAAGUUUGGUAUGAUGAGGGCGUUUGUACGUAUCGCUUUUUUUUGUUGUUGGUUCAAUACAAUUUCUAAUCUUCGGCGGGCGGUGUACAAUAAGAAACGAGUAUACUUUUUAAUGUCAUUUUAUUUUUAGUUGUCGUUCUACAUAUGCUUUUCUUGAUAUUAAUCAAAUUUAAGAUGCCUUUUGGCUGUAUUGGUCAAAAAAAUAUAUAUUUCAUAGCCGCUCCUGACCUACUGUCACCUCCCUGUGAAGGCCUCUCGAAAGGAAAAAGAGUUUGUUUGGCGGAAUUAGACCUAACUAGUCAAGCAUAUCUUACCAAGCAUGAGUGUUUUCGGUUAGAAACAAAGCAAGUGGGUAGAGAUGUGUAUUUUUUAGGACCCGAAUUACUUGCGACCAUUCGCCAGGAGGGAGGGGUUGAUCGAACGAAUUUGGUCGCUAGGGCGAGCUGCUCCCGAUGAACGAAUCUACCCCCUCGGUUGUUUGUCAGGGGAAGGGCAUGGAGCCCUGUGUGUACCCCUGGCCUAUGUCAGUGCUCCUCGAAAGCUUCUAGACUUGAAUAGUUCACAUUUUUUUUGAGUCCGAUAAAAUUUAUUUUUGUGCAAAGUCCAAAAACAAUAGAAAACAAUAGCUGAUAUUGGGCAAUGAGUUAAUAGGUUAUUCCAUAAAAAUAAUAUAAACUGAUUUAAAUAGGUGCCAAAAGUAUGCUAAUUUAACAAAAAUAUGGCAUGGAACAAACAGAAGUUAUAGAUAUGUUUGAGUUGUAUCAUCAUGUUCAUGUUGUUUUCCAUGUCGGCAAUGAUGAUAUUAUGGUAGAUGUUAUAUUAGCUUGUGAAUAAGAACAUGUGGAGUAUGCUAGUUUGCAAGUAUGAUUGAUAUGUAGGUGUGGUAGUGUGUUAAAGUUCAUGGUAUGCUUUGAGCUUGAAGAUCCAUGGUGUUGUGUUAAACUUCAUGAUCCAUGUGUACUACCGUGUAGUGUGUUAUACUAGUCUUGAUGCUAACUGAUACGUCUCCAACGUAUCUAUAAUUUUUUAUUGUUUCAUGCUAUUAUAUUAUCAAUUUUGGAUGCUUCAUAUGCUAUUUCAUAUUAUUUUUUAGGAACUGCUUUUUGCUUUUCAGAAAAUCAGUACCAAACGAAGUCCAAAUACGAUGAAACUUUACGGUGAUUUUUUCUUGACCAAAAGUGACCCUAGAAGGUCCAGGAGGAGGUCAGAAGACCUACGAGAGAGCCACGAGCUCACAGGGCGCGCCCCAAGGGGUAGGCGCGCCCCUGAGCUUGUGGGUUCCACGCAACUCCGUUUGACCUAAUUUCACCUCCAUAAAUUCAUGAAUAUUCGAAAACCAACAGAGAGCCACCGAAACACUUUUUCCACCGCCGCAAGCUUGUGUUCUCCUGCAAUCCCAUCUGGAGGCCUUUUUCGGUACUCUACCAGAGAAGGAAUCGAUCACGGAGGGCUCUACAUCAUCCUUGCUGCCUUCUGAUGAUGCGUAAGCACCACAGACCUACGGUUCCAUAGCUAGUAGCUAGAUGGCUUCUUCUCUCUCUUUGAUCUUCAAUAUAAUGUUCUCCUUGAUCUUCUUAGAGUUCUAUCCGAUAUAAUCUUUUUUUACGGUGUGUUUGUUGGGAUCCGGUGAACUGUGGGUUCAUGAUCAUAUUAUUCAUUGAAAGUAAUUGAGCCUUCUGAACUUUAUUAUGCAUGAUUGUUAUAGCUUUGUAUUUCUCUCUGAUAUAUCCGUUUGGUUUGGCCAACUAGACUGAUUUAUCUUCAGAGGGAGAGGUGCUUUGUAGGGGUUCAAUCUUGCGGUGUCCUCACCCAAUAACAGAAGGGGUAGCGAGGUACGCAUUAUAUUGGUGCUAUUAAGGGUAAAACGAUGGGGUUUAAUUAUAUUGCUUGAGUUUACUUUGUCUAGAGCAUGUCAUCCUGCUUAAGGCAUUACUCUAUUUGUCAUGAACUUAAUACCAUAGAUGCAUGCUGGAUAGCGGCUGAUUAGUGGAGUAAUAAUAGUAGAUGAGGGCAUGAGUCGGUCUACUUGUCACGGACAUGAUGCCUAUAUACAUGAUCAUUGCCAUGAAUACAUCACAACUAUGUGCUUUUCUAUCAGUUGCUCAACAGUAAUUUGUUUACCCAGCGUAUGCUAUUGUUUCGAGAGAGAGAAGCCUCUAGUUAAAACUAUGGCCUCCGGGGUCUACUUUAAUCAUAUUAUAAAAACCAAAAAUACCUUGCUGCAAUUUAUUUACUUCUAUUUUCUUUUGAAAUUUGUCUAUCUACCUAUACAAGAUUUGAUCCUUGCAAGUAACGAGUUCAAGGGGAUUGACAACCCUCUUGCCCGUGUUGGGUGCAAGUAUUUGCUUUUCUGUGUGCAGCUGUUGUUCACUAGGAUUUGCGUGGUUCUCCUUUUGGUUUGAUAAACUUUUUCUCACCAAGGGAAAUACCUAUCUCUACUGUACUGCUUCACCCUUCCUCUUCGGGGAAAAUCCCAACGCAGCUCACAUGUAGCAAAAAGAAUUUCUGGCGCCGUUGCCGGGGAGACAUCAUCAAAUCACUACAAGUAACUUCACUCAAACUAUCAUCUACUUGUUCUACCUUUUAUUGGCCUCUCUUUUUCAUCCCCCUCUACUUCUCUAAAAAAAUCAAAAAUACCAAAAAUAUUUUGUGUGCCAUCUUUGCUUGUGUUGCCAUGUGCCUUCUAUUUGCUUGCAUCUCCGCUUGCUAAAAAUUAUUGACAUGGAUCCUCAUCCACUUGCUAAUCUGUUAAAAAUAUCCAACUAUGAUGAACCAAUUGCUAGUGAGUUCAGUGCACUUGAUUAUCUUUAUGAAGUUUUGCUUGAAAAUCGUGAAUCUGAAAAUUGUGAUGAAGUGUUAAAAGAAGAAAUUUAUAAAGUGAUUCAUGAUUGCUCCUGGAAUGGAAAGCAUGAUUGUAAUGAUGCUAUUAUAAAUUCUAUUAAUAUUAGUUGUGCUAAUAAUAUGCAAAACUACAAGCUUGGGGAUGAUGAUUUUGUUAUGUCCACUACUCAUUGUAAUGAUCAUGAUUGGGUGAUGCUUUUAUGAUCUUGAAAAUUUAUUUAGGCCCCAUGAUGAAUAUUUUAUUGAUAAUAAUGUUUGCAAUAAUAUUGAAAGUGGGUUUGGAAGAGUGUCAACUUUAGGUCAAAAGAAUCCCACAUAUCCGGAGAGUGUUCAAUCUUAUGAUUUUUUUGAUAAAAGUGGGUUUGGAGAGGUCAUGACUUUAGUUGAUGUUAAUCCCACUAUUUUGGAAGAGUAUAAACUUUGCAUGCAUGUGGAUCAUGUAGAGAAUAUGUUAUGUGAUAGCUGUAUUGUCGAAUUUGAAUAUGAUCCUACAUGUAAUUAUUUUGAGAGAGAGAGAGAGAGAGAGGAAAAUAUGGUUAUAAAAAUCUUCACGUCGCUAAGUUACCUGUCUUUGCAUUGAAAUUAUUAAUGCUUCAUUCUUCCUAUUUGCAUAUGUAAGGGCAUAUUUCUCCUAAGUGGUUUUGGUGAUUGAUGACAGUGCAUUUGCGUACUAAUCGUGUGCUGAGCAUUUCAGAUAUCUCAUGUCUAGGCACAAGAUGAUUCGGUGCCCUCGGAGCCUAUCGAAGGCAGCUGUUCUCUACAUUUCUUUUUGGUGGAUUUGAGUCAUAGGAAAGCCAUACUAUUAAGAGGGGGUCCGCUUCAAAAAGGUUAGGGUGGAAUCAACACGUACACAUCUGUUCCUUUGCACCACCUUUCCUUCGCUUUGAUGGAGCACCAUCCGUUUAUCCAUGGCUCUGUGAUAUGAAGGCAACCAAAUGCUAAAGCUUCUAUGGUGUGCGGUAGUACUGCUCAAGGGAGCGGUAGUACCGUAGGGGCAAGCGGUAGUACCGCUCCUGGUGAGCGGUAGUACCGCUGCCUCCAGCCCUGAAGCUGAUACAUGCAGAAGUAGGCGCGGAUGCGAUUUUUUACUUCUGCCCUUACAUGGUAGUACCGCGACGGCUGUCCGGUACUACCGUGCCGGACUUUUGCAUAGUUCCAACCUCAGCGGAAGUUGUUAUGGAAGUAAUUUAUUACUUCCGUGCAUUUCUAGUGCCAGUUGAUACCCGCCUUACGGUAGUACCGUAGGGGCGCGCGGUAGUUCCGCUCCGGCGGUUAUACCGCUCGUUGCCUUGUGCAACAUGCCCUCAUCUGGUAACUACCGCACAAGUGGUAGUACUGCAACCCUAUGCGGUAGUACCGGUAGUACCGCGUCGCACGGGCUGAGAGAGGGGAUAACGGUUGGAUCUUUUCCACCACUAUAUAAAGGGGGUCUUCUUCCCCAAGAAGACCACGUCUUCCCUCCCCAAGCCCCAUUGUUGCUCAAACCUCCAUUUUCGCCCGAUCUCUCUUCCUAGCCAAUCAAACUUGUUAAUUUUCUAUGGAUUGGUUGAGAAGGCCCCGAUCUACACUUCCACCAAGAGAAAUUUGAUUCCCCCCACUAAUCCCUCACGGAUCUUGUUACUCUUGGGUGUUUGAGCACCCUAGACGGUUGAGGUCACCUAGGAGCCAUAUUCCAUUGUGGUGAAGCUUCGUGGUGUCGUUGAGAGCCUCCAAUUAAGUUGUGGAGAUAGCCCCAACCUUGUUUGUAAAGGUUCGGUCGCCGCCUUCAAGGGCACCAAUAGUGGAAUCAUGGCAUCUCGCAUUGUGUGAGGGCGCGAGGAGAAUACGGUGGCCCUAGUGGCUUCUUGGGGAGCAUUGUGCCUCCACACCGCUCCAACGGAGACAUACUUCCUCUCAAGGGGAAGGAACUCCUGUAACACAUCCUUGUCUCCACCGGCUCCACUCUUGGUUAUAUCUUACCUUUACUUGUGCAAGCUUUUAUUGUGUUGUAUCCCUUGCUUGCUUGUAUGCUUGUUAUUGUUGCAUCAUAUAGGUUGCUCACCUAGUUGCAUAUCUAGACAACCUACUUUGAUGCUAAGUUUAAUUUGGUAAAUAAAAGCUAAAAAUGGUUAGUUGCCUAUUCACCCCCCUCUAGUCAACCAUAUUGAUCCUUUAAAUUGGUAUCAUAGCCUCGUCUCUUUAUUAAGGACUUUACCAUCCGAGGAGUAUGGUUGACACCGUAGACGAUGGGGAGAAGCACUCUGGUAUGAAUCCAUCCUCGUCUAUGUCCGAUGGGGGAUGCUUGGUAUCUCGUGAGGAGUUCAAUGUGGCUUUGGACACAUUGAAAACCUCUAUGACGACCGAGGUUAAAGGCAUGUUUAAGGAGUUUCUUGAUGGCAUUAAAUUAUCCUCUGCAUUGGAAGUGGUUGAUCCCGCCAACAAGGUGGUGGAUGCUAACUCCAAUAAGGAGGAAGGUAGUAGUGGCCAGGUUCCUUUGCCAAGUGGUAAGAGUGGGAGUGGCAUCUUUGCCCAUGUUGAACCUCCCCUUACCUAUGGAGGACCAGUUCCCUCCACGCAUAUGAAUCAUGUUGGUCCUCCUCCUAAGCUUGCGAAAAAUCUGGAUUUUUCCGCUUGGGUGUAUCGCUUUAAACGCCAUUUAAAUCAUAACUCUACUAAUCUCUGGAGAAUUAUUGAGCAAGGUUUCUACCCGCAUGAUCCAAGCAACUUCACUCCUAGAGAAGCCGCAGAUCAUCAAUUCAACGAGUCCGCUCUCUUCAUUCUCCAAGAAGAUAUUCCUCCUGAAGAUAUUGCACAUCUCCGACCUUUCACCGUGGCCAAGGAAGCAUUGGAGCAUGUUGUUUCCUUGUACAAGGUAAGCGCAAGCAUUCAACUCUCAAACUUUGAAGUGGUGCAAGAUGAAGCCGAUGAGUUUGCCAUGAUUGAAGAUGAAGAACCUCGAGAGCUUUAUUGAAGAUUAACUACUCUCGCGGUCUCACUCCGAGAUCAUGGGAGCAAGGAUAUGGAUGACAAUUAGAUAAAACACAAGUUUCUCAAGGCCAUGAUGCCUUACCACAAGGCCAUGUCCUUCGUCAUCCGUCAAAGGCCGGACUUCCACGCCUUGUCCUCAAGUGAAGUGUUGGAUGAGUUUGUUGCAAUGAGGAUCUUGGACAAGACCGCCGACAAUGCGAUGUUGUGUGCUCAACGGUCAAAGAAUCCCAACCUUGCUUUGAAGGCCAAGGCUAGUGUGGAAGAAAAGGAUGAAGAGGAAGAAGAGGAGAGUUACCUCGAAGACACCAACUAUGCCUAUCAUGAGCACAUGGCUCUUGCUUCACGGCAAUUUUGGGGAAACAAAAAGAACACAGGGCCCAACUUCAACAAGAACAACUCAAGUGGCGCCAAGGGCAAGCAAUGUGUGAGGACAUGCUAUAAUUGUGGCAAUGUGAGUCACUUUGUUGUGGAUUGCCCUUACGAUAAGAGGGAAGACAAUGGUGUCAAGCUUAUCCGAAAAGACAAGGCCAAGUCUUUCCCCAACAAGAACAACUUCACCAAGAAGACCCCUCCCAAGGGUUUGGUGGCACAAGAAGAGUACAAUGAGGAUCAUGAAGAUGGUGAGACGGUUUCCAUGGCCCCCGUUGCCAUUGCAACAACUCCACGGGUGUCCCUCUUCGAUUCACCCAACGAGAACAUCACCGCCAAGUGCCUCAUGGCUAAAGCCACCAACAAGGUAACCCCCAACAUCAAGGCUACCAUCACUAGUAAUCCUUCCUUGACGGAUUGCAUUGAUGAAAGUGAGGGGGCGAAGGAGGAGGAGAAUGAAUUUGAGUCUUUCAUGGGAAAGCUCAAAGGUAAAACCAAGAAGCACUUCAUUGCUCUCUUGGAACAACUUGGUGAAGCCAAUGACAUGAUCGAGGAUCACGAAGAGACCAUCUCUAAGAUGGAAGAGCAUAGUCGCGACUAUGUCGAUGAGAUACCGGAUCUCUCUAAUGCGCUUGAGGAAGAGUGUGUUCAUCGUUUGGCUCUUGAGGGGUCACAGAAUGAUGAUCAUGCUAAAUUAAAGAAAGAUCUUGAUCAUGCUCUUGUUGUCUCUCGUGUGUUCAAUUUCGAGAAGGCCAAACUUGGGGUUAACCAUGCUAGACUCGAGGAGGAGUUUGAUCUACUUGACAAGGCUCACAAGGCCUUGAAAGUGUUCAUGCUAGCCUCAAAGAGUCUCAUGAUCAACUCCAAGUGAGGCUAACCAAGGAGAAAGCCAAAUUUCCUCAUAUGGUUUUAAAUGAUAAUGCAAAUGCUACUAACUCGUGUUGUGAGCAUGUGCAUCUUCUGGAGGAGAAUGCCAAGUUGAAGGAGAAACUUGAGAAAGGCCUUGCGUCUUGCAUACAAGGUGAGAAUAACCUGAACGACCUUUCGAUCAAUCAAAAGGAAGUUGUAGCCAAGGAGGGGACUGGGUUUGCACCCAAGUCCAAGAAGAAGAAGAAUGACAAGACCAAACAACCUCCUCCUCUCAAGCAAAGGUUUGUGAAGGAGGGAGACAGUACUCCUAAGGAGAAGAAGAAUAAUGCGAAGGGUGGUGGUGUCAAGAAGGGCAAUGCCACUCCUUCCAACAAAGCUAGUGACUUUAACUUUUCUUAUGUGUUAUGCCGUGCUAGUGAUGGGCAUGUUUAUGCCAAAUUUGCUGGUUAUUCUUAUGAGUACAUUGAAUGGUUUAUUUGGGUUCCUAAGAUCCUUGUUGCUAACAUCAAAGGACCCAUUACAAAAUGGAUACCUAAAACUAAGCAUUGAUCUCUUGUAGGUAUUUGCUUCCGGUGGGGGAUCAUGGUUGCUCGAUAGUGGAGCCACAAAUCAUAUGAUCGGAAGCAAGGAAUUGGUGGUGAACGCCCACAAGGUUUCAUCUAUGCCCACCAAUGUCGAAAGGGGUGAUGCCUCAUCUUCUAAGGUAUUGGGUUUUGGCAAGGUUGUCAUUUCUCAUGAUCUCACGAUCGAGAAAGUCAUGCUUGUUGAGUCCCUUGCAUACAACUUACCUUCGGUUCGUCAACUUGCGCUCAUGGGCUUUGCCACUUUCUUUGAUAUUGAUUCUGUGUCCCUCUUGUGGAGCAAAACUCUUAAAGUAGCUUUUGUUGGGCAUGUCGAGAACGGUCUUUAUGUGAUUAACUUUUUAGAGCAACCCAUUAAGACCGCGACAUGCCUAAUGGCUAAAGUUGACGUGGGAUGGCUUUGGCAUCACCGUUUAGCCCAUGUCAAUAUGAGAUCUUUGCAAAGUCUUCUCAAGGGGACCCUAUCAUUGGACUAACAAAUGUUAGUUUUGCCAAAGAUCGUGCUUGAAGUGCUUGUAUCGAAGGAAAGCUACAUGAGACGCAGUGGCGAAGCCACGUUACACCUAUGCAGUCGAUUGACUACACAUGAUUCUUGUAUGUCAUUGACCCCCAGGUCCACAUGCCACGUAAAUGAACGAACCAAAAAGGGAAUUUGACUACGUGGCCUAUCUACCAUCUGCUAUUUUGCUUGGGUUAAGACUAGUUGGGCCACUACUGGGCCAUAUAGUAAGAAGUCGAAAAUCACUUCCCUCACGGCCAUUUUUACUCAAAAAUAAAACUAACCUCAUAGUUGAUCCCCAAAUUACAUGAUCUCCUUCAACUACUCCAGCUACCGCAUGCCUAUCCAAUGAGCGUCGAUAGCCGCCGCAGCGUGCGUCUUCCCAUCCUUUGUCAGACGUUGACGAUCUCUAAUCUGACCAUGAGAUGUGAGGAACGACCCCCUCCGGCGAGCCACGGCCACCUACCCACGGUUGCACACUCAUUGUCCGUCACCUUGAUCACUACUUUCACACUAGUCGGCACUCUAUAUCCUAUCCAACACCAGGAGGAGGCCCUCCACUCUCCCACUUUUAUUUGUAAGUUUUAUCUGCCAACACUGCAAUACUAUUCCUUGUCUUUUUUUUUUCUCGCAAGCAAUAUUAAAAAGUAAGAAUUUUUUUGUUUAGAAUAAGAAUUGCAUUUUUCGCGAUGAAAUAUAUCACGUUGAUUUCUGCAACAGGAAUAGGCGACGAUCUAUUGUAUUGUUGUCUCAUUACAUAUGUUGAAACUGAUAUAUUCAAGUCUAAUGCCGACCCCUUCACGAUAUGCAUGAUCACAAAGGGCUGCUACAUAAUAUAUGCUGGUAGUAAAGUAUGAUAUUUAUGUUCCUGUUUAAUUUGUCUAUAAAUAUUUCCAUUAGAAUUGCUUGACAUCACAAGGUUUUGAUCCUGGCACCACCACUGAUGAGACGGCUCACCCUCACUAUCAUCUACUCGGCGAGGCCUUUUGAGCUCCUUCACAUGGAUCUUUUUGGGCCUCCGUCCUUUGAUAGUCUUGGGGGUAGAAAGUAUUGCUUGGUGAUUGUGGAUGAUUAUUCAAGAUACACUUGGGUGUACUUCAAGAGGAAGAGUGAGACCCAAGAAACCGUCAUCGACUUUGCAAAUGGAGCUCAGCGUCAACACAAUGCAAAGAUUUUAGUGAUAAGAAAUGACAACGGCACUGAGUUCAAGAACAACACCUUGGAUGAGUUUCUUAGUGAUGAGGGGAUCAAGCAUCAAUAUUCCGCACCUUACACCCCUCAACAAAAUGGUGUAGCGAAGAGGAAGAACCAGACAUUGAUGGAUGCGGCAAGGACCAUGAUGGAGGAGUUCAAGUCUCCGUACAACUUUUGGGCCGAAGCCAUCAACACCACUUGUCAUGCAUCCAAUCGACUCUAUCUCCGCAAAGGCUUUAACAAGACUCCAUAUGAGAUACUUACCGGCAACAAGCCCAACCUCAAGUAUUUCCAGGUGUUCGGUUGUGAGUGUUUCAUUCUCAAGAAAGGUGUUCGUUUGUCUAAAUUUGAGGCUAAAGCUCAUGAGGGCAUAUUUGUUGGUUGUGCUACAAACUCUCAUGCUUACCAUGUCCUCAACAAGUCCACAUGACUCAUUGAGGAGACGUGUAACAUGGAGUUUGAUGAGAAUAACGGCUCCCAAGUGGAGAAAAGUGGUACUUGUGAUGUAGGUGAUGAAAUUCCUCCCCAAGCCAUAAGAAGAAUGGGUGGUGGCCAUAUCCUACCCAUUGAGGAACCCCUUGUGGUCAAAGGAGAAGGACAAUGUUCCACUCAAGUGGAACCAUCACCAACCCAAGACCCACACACUUCUGAAGAACAAAGUGAAGGCCCUCAACCAAAUGAACAAGAUCAAGGACAAGAUCAACCUCAAGAUGGUGGAGAUCCACCAAUUGAUGCCCAAGGUCAAGUUCUUGCUACCGAGAAAGUUCAAGAUCAAGAUCGAGCUCAAGCUCAAGAAUAAGCUCAAGACUUACAGCUCCUCAACUCUCUGUUGAGGAGCAACUGGAGCGUCGUGCCGCGAAGAUUGCUUCCAAGCUCGCUACCAAAGAGAAUCUCAUGAAGAAUGUGCUUGGAAGCUUAAGAAAGGGGGUAAGCACUCCUAGAAAAUUAGCAAACUACUGUGAACAUCAUGUGUUUGUUUCUUGUGUUGAACCCCCAAAAGUCUAUGAGGCGCUUGAGGAUCCGGAUUGGCUUAAUGCCAUGCAUGAAGAACUCAACAACUUUGAGUGCAACAAGGUAUGGGGAUUGGUGCCAAGGCCAAAGGAGAACCAUAAUGUCAUUGGAACCAAAUGGAUCUUCAAGAACAAGCAAGAUGCUCACGGGAUUGUCAUUUGCAACAAGGCUCGUUUGGUGGCACAAGGCUACUCCCAAGUCAAGGGUAUCGACUAAGGUGAAACCUUUGCUCCCAUUGCUCGCCUUGAAUCUAUUCGUUUGUUGCUUGCUUAUGCUUCUCAUCACAACUUCAAGUUGCAACAAAUGGAUGUGAAGAGUGCUUUUCUUAAUGGUCCUCUUAAUGAGUUGGUGUAUGUCAAACAACCCCUGGGGUUUGAGGAUCCCAAGCUCCCCAAUCACGUGUACCAACUCGAUAAGGCGCUCUAUGGCCUUAAACAAGCCCCAUGUGCAUGGUAUGACCACCUUACCGAGUUGUUGCAAGAUCGUGGGUUUGAAAUUGGGAAAAUUGACCCCACUAUUUUUACUAAGAAGGUCAAACGGGAGUUGUUUGUAUGCCCACUAUAUGUUGAUGAUAUUAUCUUUGGUUCUCCUAACAAAGCUUUCAAUGAGGAGUUUGUCGCACUCAUGACUACAGAGUUUGAGAUGUCCAUGAUGGGAGAGUUGAAGUUAUUUUUUGGGUUCGAAGUCAAACAAAGAAGAGAAGGAAUCUUCAUAAACCAAGACAAAUACACUCAAGACAUGCUCAAGAGAUUCAAGCCGAGUGAUGUCAACCGGCGUCUACACUAAUGCCUACCAAAUGCCACUUGACAUUGAUCCCAAUGGUAAAGCGGUGGAUCAAAAGGUAUAUCGUUCUAUGAUUGGCUCCUUGCUUUACUUUUGUGCAUCUGGACCAGAUAUCGUGUGGAGUGUGGGAAUUUGUGCACGGUUUCAAGCCUCACCUAAGGAAAGCCACUACAUGGUGGUCAAGUGAAUCUUUCGAUAUUUGGCUCAUACCCCAAACCUUGGCUUAUGGUACCCUAGAGGAGUAAACUUCAAUCUUGUGGAAUUUUCGGAUUCGGAUUGAGCGUGAGACAAAAGUGGAUAGGAAGUCACCUUCCGGAGGGUGCCAAUUUCUUGGUUUGUCUUUGGUGAGUUGGUCUUCUAAGAAGCAAAGUUGUGUGUCUCUCUCCUCCACCGAAGCCGAAUAUGUGGCCGCCGGUAGUUGUUGUGCUCAACUUCUAUGGAUGAGGCAAACUUUAAAGGAUUAUGGUGUCACUUGUGACAAAGUGCCUCUUUGGUGUGACAAUGAAAGUGCCAUCAAGAUUUCUCUCAACCCGGGGAAACACUUCAAGACGAAGCAUAUUGAGAUUCGGCAUCACUUCAUCCGGGAUCACAUUAAGCGAGGGGAGAUUGAUCUUAACUAUGUCAACACUCAUGAUAACCUUGCAUAUAUUUUCAUGAAGCCUUUGGAUGAAGCAAGAUUUCGCAAGUUAAGGCAUGAGCUAAAUAUCAUCGAUUUGAGCAAUGUGGCCUGAACCUUUGCACACCCCACCAUACUCAUCAUGUUGUCUUGUUUAGGUGUAGGCACGGACAUAGGGGGAGUGUUGUUCUCUCAAUGAACUCUCCCUCCCCCAUUAUGCAUAAAUUGAUCAACUCUUUCACAUUUACAAUUUUUUAUGGUACUUGUGCUUCAAAGACGAGUUUUGGUCAUGGGCCCAAGGCUAAUUCUUUGCGAUACCAUACCAAUUGACUCAAACAUAGGUGGAUCUGGCCACCGCCCUCUCUUCAAUGAGAGGUUUUAGUUCGUUGUUUGGUCCUCAUUUUCUCUUUGCUUACCUUUUAGACCUUGUUUGUGGUUAAGUUGCUUCUUUGGUGCUCUCUCUUGUGUGUCCUUUUGCUUGAAGCUCUUUGUUUUUUCGUCGUGCCUUUGUGUCUCCCAUUUUCCUUAGCUUGUUUGUGUUGCAAAUGCCGGUUCAUUUCUCUCUAACCAAAACAUGCACUUUCUUGGGCAUGCGGUACUACAGUGUGGCAUGCCAUGGUACUACCGCUGGAGGUGGGUGGCUCUUGUACUUGCAUAGCUACGACCACAGCACGGUAUUACCACCUCCAGCACGGCAGUAAAUUUUUACUGCCGCUAGAAGAGCAGUACUACCACCCAAUGUGCGGUACUACCGCCCGGGCUGUACUACCGUGAUGACCUGCGGUACUACCGUGCUGUCGUGACCGCAUGGGGGUUAAGCACGGGCAGGGGGAGUUCCAACUCCCCCAUACCCAUUCAUCUCUUCCCCUCACGUCUCUCUCUCCUACCCAAUAAUGUCGGCGGAGGACCUCGUCGGAUCUCCAUCUUCGGCCACUCUCCUCUCAUUUCCACCGGUGGGAUCGUUCCCCACCUUGUCCUCUUGCCAUGGAACCCGGUAUCUCCCCUAGUCCUUCUCUCUUUGCCUUUUUUUUGCAUCUAGGUUUUGGGGGAAAUAUGAGUUGGUCUUGUGAUUUUUGGCUAAAUCUUUGCAAGAGGAGAUAGUUGGAGAGUGCUUGUGUAGUAGAUAUGUUUUUUUGGUGUGAUACAACAACGUAGUUUUUGAUCGAUGGUAGUACCAUUUUCUAUUUAUGGAUGUUCUCAGAUCCGUUUGUGCGAGAUCCUCCCCGUGUGGUACUACCGCUCCGCCUGAGCAAGGUACUAUCGCUGGCCCCUGUGGUACUAUCGUGGUCAGAGCAGUAGUAAAAUUUUACUUCCGCGCCCAGUUCAGUACUACCGAUUGACUUAAAAUUAUUUUGUUUUGUCACAUCCAAUCUCAUUUCUAGUUGUUUCAUUUAUUGGCCUUGGUCUUUGCAAUAAUCCUUCUUGCUCUUCUCGCGUGUUUGCGUUGUGUGUCAUAGGUGGUGGCUCCGGUUCCGUUGCUAGGCGCUUGAAUGCCAUCCAUGAUACAAGCUCACAACAUCUUCGCAACUAAGAAGCUCCUGAGGGGUCCAAUGCGCCAACAUGCCACUUCAAGACAACAACCACCAAGAUCAAGGAGCCAGUUGUCAUCCUGGACGACAUGCCUCUACCAGACUUUCAGCUUCGAAGGAAGCUCAACCCCUAUAUCAAGCCUCGAGAACAAAUAAGGGGCAAUGACUUCUUUUGGACCAAGCAACAAAAUCUCAUCUACCUAGAUGUGAUCAAGGCCAAGCAGAACAUCUACAUACCCAUUCAUUGGAUUGAUAUGGAGCAUCUGAGGAAGAACCAGGCAUAUUUUGGUGAGCCUCUGGAUUUGGUGGAGCAGUUUGGUAUUGAAGAGAUCAUCACGUUCCACCUUGACUAUGACCCAGAGAUUGUGGCUCAGUUUUUUGCUUCUGUCCAUUUCCACUCGGAUGUGAAGUGGAGCAUGACUUGGAUGACAAAUGGAAAGAAGACGACCGCUGAGUGGAAGGAGUUCAUGGAUAUGUUGCACAUUCAUGAUGAGGGGCUAGAUGUGCCUGUUGGUAUCCGCCCGCAUGCCAACCCAAAGUCCGCUUCCAAGAACAAGUUUCAACCAUACCUGGUGGAGAAUAAUUUACCCAAUGGCAAGAAGUCUUAUGUGCUGAACCCAUUUCUCAACAUCAUGCACCGGAUCUUUCGCAGCUCUCUUUUUCCUCACAUGGGCGACAAGGACAAGGUGCAUUCCUAUCUUAUGGACAUGAUUCUUAUUUGUGAGGAAGCGCCUCUUCGACAACCUGGACCACUUGAUGUCUCUCACAUCAUGUGGUGUGAGCUUUAGUCUGCUGUGUUCCAUCGUAAGGUUACCAUCUAUGGACCCUAUUUGCACCUCUUAAUUUAGAAGACUUGGGAGAAGCUCUUUUCGGGUGAGGAGUUUCAUGCUCUCAACUGGUUUCGCCAUGAGCCCAUUAAGCUGCGAUAGAAGAACAAGUGGGCUAACACCACUACCCGGGCUAAAGCAGAGGCUGCCCGCAUGGAUAUUGAUGAAGAUGAGAUUGCGGAGGAGGAGGAGGACAGUUCUGAGUAUGAGCCUCCCUCCUCAUCUUGGGCUUCGAAGCUCAAGGACAGGGUGGAGACUGUUAUGCAUAUAGGCCAAGGGGCAGUACCAGACCCAUGUUGCUCAGAAGGAGAGUCGCCAGCACGACAAGCGGAUUUUGAGGACGCUUGGCGAGCAUGUCUCAAGUGGGUCUAAGAAGACCAUCACACCUGAGGCUGCUUGGAUGAAGAAGAAGGGAUAUCAGUGGGUUGAGCCAGAUGAGGAGUCCAUUCCUGCUGCUUCUGAGGAGGAGAUUGUUGGGUGAUCACUACAGUAGGAGCUACCACCCGUGUCUUAGGUGUCCUCUCUGCCUUUUUAGUGUCUCGAUGCCAAAGGGGGAGAGAGUGUAGGAUUUGCGAGUACUUUGUUUUGUCUCCUUGCUUUCGUUGAACAUUUGUCGUUGCUUUGGUUUGUGUUAUUUUCGUGUGAGAUUGGAGACUUAUUCUAUCAUACGGUGUGAGACAUAUGCCUUCACUCUUAUCCUUUUAUUGUCAAGUAGAUUAGUAGCUUGUGAGUUUAUUUUGUCUUGUGCCCUUAUUAUCAUGCUCACUUGCUAUACCUUGCUUACAUGCUUAGUGUCUCUCAUCUUGUUGCAAGGAUUGCCUUGUCUAUAAAAUAUAGGGGGAAUGUUGAUCCUAGUGUGUGUGUUUUGCAGUUCAAAGCAUAUCUAUAGAAUGCACACAUCUAGGGGGAGCCUAUCUAUAUUUUAUAGAUUUUGGGUUUGCUUAUGCUCAUUAUAUAUCUCUAUGUGCAAAUCCCGUAUUGUCAUCAAUCCACCAAAAAGGGGGAGAUUGUAAGGGCAUAUUUCUCCCUAAGUGGUUUUGCUGAUUGAUGACAAUGCAUUUGCGGACUAAUCUUGUGCAUUGAGCAUUUCAGAUAUCUCAUGUCUAGGCACAAGACAAUUCGGUGCCCCUCGGAGCCUAUCGAAGACAGUUGUUCUCUACGUUUCUUUUUGGUGGAUUUGAGUCGUAGGAAAGCCGUACUAUUAAGAGGGGGUCCGCUUUGGAAAGGUUAGGGUGGAAUCAACACGUACACAUCUGGUCCUUUGCACCACCUUUCCUUCGCUUCGAUGGAGCACCAUCCGUUUAUCCAAGUCUCUACGAUAUGAAGGCAGCCAAAUGCAAAGCUUCUGUGGCCUGCAGUAGUACUGCUCAAGGGAGCGGUAGUACCACAGGGGCAAGCGGUAGUACCGCUACCUACAGCCAUGAAGCUGAUACAUGCGAAAGUAGGCGCAGAUGUAAUUUUUUAGUUCCGCCCUUACGCGGUAGUACCGCAACGGCUGUCCGGUACUACCGUGCCGGACUUUUGCACAGUUCCAACCUCAACGAAAGUUGUUACGUAAGUGCCAAUUGAUACCUGCCUUACGGUAGUACCAUAGGGGCACGUGGUAGUACCGCUCCGGCGGUUCUACCGCUCAUUGCCUUGUGCAACAUGCCCUCAUCUGGUCACUACCGCACAAGCGGUAGUGCCGCACUCUGCAGCGGUAGUACCAUAACCCUAUGUGGUAGUACCGCGUCCUUGUGCAGUAGUACCGCGUCGCGCGGGCUGAGAGAGGGGAUAAUGGUUGGAUCUUUUCCCCUACAAUAUAAAGGGGGUCUUCUUCCCGAAGAAGACCACAUCUUCUCUCCCCAAGCUCCAUUAUUGCUCAAACCUCCAUUUUCACCUGAUCUCUCUCCCUAGCCAAUCAAAUUGUUGAUUUUCUAGGGAUUGGUUGAGAAGGCCCGAUCUACACUUCCACCAAAAGAAAUUUGAUUCCCCCGCCUAAUCCCUUAUGGAUCUUGUUACUCUAGGGUGUUUGAGCACCCUAGACGGUUGAGGUCACCUCGGAGCCAUAUUCCAUUAUGGUGAAGCUUCAUGGUGUCGUUGGGAGCCUCCAAUUAAGUUGCAGAGAUAGCCCCAACCUUGUUUGUAAAGGUUUGGUUGCCGCCUUCAAGGGCACCAAUAGUGGAAUCACGACAUCUCACAUUGUGUGAGGGCACGAGGAGAAUACGGUGGCCCUAGUGCCUUCUUGGGGAGCAUUGUGCCUCCACACCGCUCCAACGGAGACGUACUUCCUCUCAAAGGGAAGGAACUUCAGUAAGACAUCGUCUCCACUGGCUCCACUCUUGGUUAUCUCUUACCUUUACUUGUCCAAGCUUUUAUUGUGUUGUAUCCCUUGCUUUCUUGUGUGCUUGUUCUUGUUGCAUCAUAUAGGUUGCUCACCUAGUUUCACAUCUAGAUAACCUACUUUGAUGCUACGUUUAAUUUGGUAAAGAAAAGCUAAAAAUUGUUAGUUGCCUAUUCACCCCCCUCUAGUCAACCAUAUCGAUCCUUUCAACAUAUGUGAGAUAUUGCUUGUCUUGAUAAUUUGUUUUCCUAUAAAAUGCCUAUGCAUAGGAAGUAUGUUCGACUUAAAUGUGGAUUUUACAUGUUUUAUGAUGCUUUCUUUGUGCUUCAAUUCUUGUCUUUCAUGCGAGCAUCAUUGAAAUCUCAAGCCUAUCUUAAUGCUAUAAAGAAAGAGCUUGUUGGGAGGCAACCCAAUAGUUAUAAUUUUGCUUUUUAUUUCUGUUUUAGGUUUUGACAUGAUUAUUUCUACUAUAAUGAUUGUGUUUUUAUGUUAGUGUUUGUGCCAAGUAAAUCCUUUGGGAUGAUUUGGAUAAUAGUUGACUUGAUUCCGUGAAAAAAUAGAAACUUUUCCGUCCAGUGCUGGAAUUACUAUAAUUCACUGGCACGUGAUAAAAUCCUAAAUUAAAAAAAAGAUUGAUAUACAAAUUUCCCACGUUGUCCUAAUUUGUUAGAAUUUUUGGAGUUAAAGAAGUAUAGUUUUUGUUCAGAUCAUUACAGACUGUUCUGUUUUAGACAGAUUCUGUUUUCUAUUGCAUAGUGUGCUUGUUUUAGUGAUGCUAUGGAUUAUAUCGGGGGGUAUACAUCAUGGAGAAGUUAGAAUAUAGUAGGUAUUACACAAGAAUAAAUUAUGAAUGAGUUUAUAAUAGUACAUAAAGUUUAUUAUUUGUCUAUUACACUAUGGAUCUCACAAGGUUUUUGUUGGGUUCUCUGUGCUGAAGUUUUCAUGUUUUGGGUGAGAUCACGAUGGAUGAAGGAAUAAGUAGCGGCAAGAACCUAAGCUUGGGGAUGUCCAAGGCACCCCAAGGUAAUAUUCAAGGAAGACACAAGCGUCUAAGCUUGGGGAUGCCCAUGAUGGCAUCCCCUCUUCCGUCUACAAUCUAUCAGUAUGUUACUUGGAGCUACAUUUUAUUCAUCACAUGAUAUGAAUUUUGCUUGGAGCGUCUUGCGCCAUUGUUUUUGCUUUGUUUGCUUUUUAGUUUGCCAUAAUCAUUGUUUGCUGGACACACCUUUUGAGAGGGACACACAUUUAUCGUUAUUUUUUAGAAUACUCUAUGUGCUUUACUUAUAUCUUUGGAGCUAGACAGUUGCUCAAGUGCUUCACUUAUAUCUUUUAGAGCACGUAGUGGUUAUAUUUUAUAGAAAUGGUUGCACUCUCAUGCUUCACUUAAAUUGUUUUGACAGUCUAUGAAUGGUAGUUCAUAAUUUGCAUGUGUUAUAAGAUUAGUCCAAGAAGGAUUGAUGCACGAACCAAUAUAGGCAACCAAUAUAUCAGCACAUUUAAGAUUUCUAGCCAUACUUUGCUUAACUAACCAGUUGCUAGAAAUGGUAGAUAUUGUUGCCCCAGUAAAAAAUUCUAAGGAUGCAAUAGGAAAAGUUCUAGAAGUUCAAAAACGCAGAAAAAGGGUUUUCUGAACAGAUUCUAAACCAAAAUAUAGAGUAUCAAAUUGCAUCUGCUAGGAUUGGUACCGGUCCUAAGACUGAUGAACGUGACACAGUUACCUUUCCAAAAUUUGCUAGCCUCUUCGAUACCGUGCAUUGCCCUUUCUCACCUCGAGAGUUGGUGCAAACUUCGUGAGUGCAUCCAAACCCUGUGGUAUGAUAUGAUGUAUCACACAUAAUCCUCCUUAUAUCUUCCUCAAAACAACCACCAUACCUACCUAUUAUAGCAUUUCCAUAGCCAUUACGAUAUAUAUUGCCAUGCAACUUCCACCAUUCGGUGUUACUACUCGUGUGUUCAUCGUCAUAUUGCUUUGCAUGAUCAUGUAGAGCAUACAUGAUAUUUGCGGCACAACCACCAUUCAUCACUAUUAUACAUGUUAUGCUAGAUCAUUGCACAUCAUGGUACACUGCCAAAGGCAUUCAUAUAGAGUCAUAUUGUUUCAGUUAUCGAGUUGUAAUAUUGAGUUUUAAGUAAAUAAAAGUGAGAUGAUCAUCAUUAUUAGAGCAUUUUCCUAGUGAGGAAAGGAUGAUGGAUACUAUGGUUCUCCCACAAGUCGGGAUGAGACCCCAAAUGAAAAAUAAAAAAAGGAAAAAUAAAAAGAAAGAAAGUAAAAAAGAAUGAAAUGAGAGAAAAGGGAGAAGGGGCUAUGUUUACUAUCCAUUUACCACACUUGUGCUUCAGAGUAGCACCACGUUCCUUCAUAUAGAGAGUCUCCAAAGUUAUCACUUUCAUAUACUAGUGAGAAUUUUUCAUUAUAGAACUUGGCUUGUAUAUUUCGACGAUGGGCUUCCUCAAAUGCCAGAGGUCUUCAUGAGCAAGCAAGUUGGAUGCACACCCACUUAGUUUCCGUUGAGCUUUAAUACACUUAUAGUUCUUAGUGCAUAUGUUGCAUGGCAAUCCAUACUCCUCGCAUUGACAUUGAUUGAUGGGCCUCUCCAGCCCGUUGAUCAGCCGCGUUGAUGUGAGACUUUCUUCCUUUUUGACUUCCCUUAUUGAUAUCUACCACCGCAUUCUAUUCCAGCUAUAUUGCUAUAUCCAUGACCCACGCUCAUGUAUUGCGUGGGGCUGAAAAUGCUAAAGCGCGUUAGAAGUACGAUCCAAUUGACUAGUUUGACACCGAGGUGCUUGAUACUUCUCCAACAUAUCUAUAAUUUUUUAUUGUUCCAUGCUAUUAUAGUAUCAAUCUUGGAUGUUUGUUAUGACGUUAUAUAUCAUUUUUGGGACUAACCCAUUUCCAAGUGCCAGUUGCUGUUUUUUGCUUGUUUUUGGCUUUACAGGAAAUCAAUAUAAAACAGAGUCCAAACUGAGAAAAAACUUUGGAUAAUUUUUUCUGGACCAGAAGGGACCCUGGAAGGUUCGGGAGAAGACUCGAUGAGCCGUGAGGGAGCAACAAGCUCGGGAGGCACGCCCCAAGGGGGGGGGGGGCAGCGCCCCCAGGUUUGUGGGCUCCUCGUGGCACCUCUUAACCUAAUUCCACCUCUAUAAAUUCUCAAAUAUUCCCCAUACAUCAGAGAGCAACCCAAAAUACUUUUUCUACCACCACAAGUUUCUGUUGUCGCGAGAUCCCAUCUACAGACCUUUUCCAGCACUCUGCCGGAGGGGGAAUUGAUCACAGAGGGAUUCUACACCAACCUUGCCGCCCCUUCGAUGAUGUGUGAGUAGUUUACCAUAGACCUAUGGGUCCAUAGCUAGUAGCUAGAUGGCUUCUUCUCUCUCUUUUAUCUUCAAUACAAUGUUCUCCUCGAUGUUCUUGGAGAUCUAUUCGAUGUUAUCCUUUUUGCGGUGUGUUUGUUGGGAUCCGAUGAAUUGUUGGUUUAUGAUAACAUUAUCCAUGAAUAUUAUUUGAGUCUUCUCUGAAAUCUUUUAUGCAUGAUUGUUAUAGCUUUGUAUUUCUCUCUGAUUUAUCUGUUUGGUUUGGCCAAAUAGAUUGAUUUAUCUUGUAAUGGGAGAGGUGCUUUGUGAUGGGUUCGAUCUUGCGUUGAUCAAUCCCGACAGAAAGGUACAUGACACGUACUUGUAUCAUUGCCAUUAAGGAUAAAAAUAUGGGGUUUAUUCAUAUUGAUUGGAUUUACUUUGUCUACAUCAUAUCAUCUUGCUUACGGUGUUACUCCAUUCUUUAUGAACUUAACACUCUAGAUGCUUGCUGGAUAGUGGUCGAUGUGUGGAGUACUAGUAGUAGAUGCAGGCGGGAGUCGGUCUACUUGUCUCCAAUGUGAUGCCUAUAUACAUGAGCAUUUCCUUGGAUAUCAUCAUGAUUAUUGGCUUUUCUACCAACUGCCCAACAGUAAUUUGUUUACCCACCGUAUGUAUGUUCAAGAGAGAAGCCUCUAGUGAAAACUAUGCCCCUGGGUCUAUUUUAAUCAUAUAUUAAAAUCUAAAAAUACCUUGCUGCAAUUUAUUUACCUUUAUUUUAUUUUGUGUUUUUAUCAUCUAUCUAUCAUUACGAGAUUUGAUCCUUGCAAUUAACUGCUUAGGGAUUGACAACCCCUUGUUUACGUUGGGUGCAAGUAUUUGUUAUGUUGUGUGUAGGUACUGCUAACGAGGUGUUGUGUGGUUCUCCUACUAGAUUGAUAACCUUGGUUCUUAAGUGAGGAAAAUAUAUAUCUCUACUGUACUGCAUCAUCCCCUCCUCUUCAAGGAAAUCCUUGUGAAGCUCACAAGUAGCAGGAAGAAUUUCUGGCACCGUUACCGGGGGACAUCAUCAACAUCUAUCAAGUACCAUCUCAUAAAAUUUCAUCUCCUUGUAUUUACUUCUAUUUCCCAUUUUCUUCUCGUUUUCAUCUCCCCCACUUCUAAAAUGUUUUCACAAAAACAGAUAAAUAUUUUCCAUUUGCCUUUUUUUGCUUUCUUGCUUGCUUUCUUGCGAUGUCUCAAGAAAAUUACUAUGAUAUCUCUUGUCAUAAAAGGUUGGCUGAAAUUGAGAAAAAUACUAAGGACUUCAUGUUUACGCAAUUUGAGCACAAUAAUUUUUUUACCGAUGAGCUUAAGGAACCCUCUACCUUAUUAGAUGCUAUUGAAAAAAAACUCAGUGAUGUUAAUGAAGAAUUUGACGAUCUUCAAUCUCAGCUUGCUCUUACUAAAAAUUUGCUAGGAAAAAUUUCAAUGCACAAACUACACUAGUAAACUAGGUGGUAGCUAAGCCGGAAUCUUUAGCAUUUGUUCAUGAUGAAGAUAUUAAAAUGAUUGGUGUUACACCCAUUGAAUAUUUGUUUAGUAAUUUAAAACUUUAUGAAAAGGGGUCUGGACAAGAGUCAACUUUAGCUAGAAGGCGUCCCCAUUGUUCGGAGGGUGAAAAUCUUAAUGAAAAAUUGAUAAAAGUGGGUUUGGAGAGGUUAAAACUUUAAAUAGUGAUGUUUCCACUUUUUCGGAUUUCAAGGAUUUUAAUUAUGAUAUCUGUUCUUCCAUUGAGUGUAUUUCCUUGUUGCAAUCCAUGCUAAAUUCACCCAAUUCUUAUGAACAAAUAAGGCUUUUACUAAACAUAUCGUAGAAGCUAUGAUGAAAGCUUUAGAAGAAAAGAUAGAAUUGGAGGUUUCAAUACCUAGGAAACUAAAUGAUGAGUGGGAACCUACCACUAAAGUUAAAAUUAAAAAUUAUGAGUGAAAUGCUUUAUCUGAUUUGGGUGCUAGCGUUUCCACAAUACCAAAGUCUUUAUGUGAUAUGCUAGGCUAUACUAAUAUGGAUGAAUGUUCUCUUAAUUUGCACUUAGCGGAUUCCACUAUUAAGAAACCUUUGGGUAGAAUAAAUGAUGUUAUUAUUCUUGCAAAUAGGAAUUAUGUGCCCGUUGAUUUCACUAUGCUUGAUAUUGAUUGUGAUCCAUCUUGUCCCAUAGUACCUGGUAGGCCUUUCCUAUGAACCAUAGGUGCUAUUGAUAUGAAAGAAGGUAAUAUAAAGUUUCAAUUUCCUUUAAAGAAGGAUAUGGAACACUUCCCUAGAAGAAGAUUAAGCCACCAUAUGAAUCUAUUAUGAGGACCACCUAUGGAGUUAAUUUGAAAGAUGAUAACACUUGAACUUAUGCAUUACGCCUAGCUAAGGGCGUAAAACAAUAUCGCUUUGUUGGAAGGCAACCCAAUAGUUCUCUUAAUUUUUAUUUUUAUUUUUCUAUUUUUGGUGUUGAUACGUCUCCAUCGUAUCUACUUUUCCAAACUCUUUUGCCCUUGUUUUGGACUCUAAUUUGCAUGAUUUGAAUGGAACUAACCCGGACCGACAUUGUUUUCAGCAGAAUUGCCAUGGUGUUAUUUUUGUGCAUAAAUCAAAGUUCUUGGAUUGACCUGAAAUUUAUGGAGAAUAUUUCUGGAAUAUAUAAAAAAUACUGGCAGAAAAAGAUACCAAAGGGGGGCCACCCAGGAGCCACAAGCCCCUAGGGGCGCGCCUCCCAGGCUUGUGGAGCACCUGGAGCUCCGGCAACCCUAAAUCCAACUCCAUAUAUACCUGUCCACGGAGAAAAAUUAGAGAGAAGGAUUCCUCGCAUUUACGAUAUGGAGCCGCCGCCACCGCCCGUUCUUCAUCGGGAAGGCUGAUCUGGAGUCCGUUCGGGGCUCCGGAGGGUGGAAUCCAUCGUCGUGAACGUCAACCUUCCUCCAUCACCAAUUUUAUGAUGCUCACCACCGGGAGUGAGUAAUUCCGUCGUAGGCUUCCUGGAUGAUGAUGGGUUGGAGAAGAUUUAUCAUGUAAUCAAGUUAGUUUUGUUAGGGCUUGAUCCCUAGUAUCCACUAUGUUCUGAGAUUAUGUUGCUAUAACUUUGCUAUGCUUAAUGCUUGUCACUAGGGCCCGGGUACCAUAGUUUCAGAUCUGAACCUAUUAUGUUUUCAUGAAUAUAUUUCUGUCCUUGAUCCUAUCUUGCAAGUUGUAUACACCUAUUACAAGUUAUGACCCGCAUACCCAAGGUGACGAUAAUUGGGAUUGUUUCUGGUGAUUACCGUAGUUUGAGGAGUUCAUGUAUUCACUAAGUGCUAAUGCUUUGUUCUGGUUCUCUAUUAAAAGGAGGCCUUAAUAUCCCUUUAGUUUCCUUAUGGACCCCGCUUCCAUGGGAGGGUAGGACAAAAGAUGUCAUGUAAGUUCUUUUCCAUAAGCACGCAUGACUAUAUACAGAAUACAUGCCUACAUUAUAUCGAUGAAUUGGAGGUAGUUCCGUGUCACCCUAGGUUAUGACUGCUACAUGAUGAAUAUUAUCCAACACAAUUAUCCAUUGCUGAUCCAAUUCCUACGAGCUUUUCACAUAUUGAUCUUUGGUAAGUUACUUUUGUCAUUGCUGCUAAUCACUACAAAACUACUACUAUUACUUUUGCUACUGUUACCGUUACUAUCAUACUACUUUGCUACUAAAUACUUUGAUGGAGAUAUUAAGUCUUCAAGGUGUGGUUAAAUUAACAACUCAACUGCUAAUACUUGUGAAUAUUCUUUGGCUCCCCUUUCGUCGAAUCAAUAAAUAUGGGUUGAAUACUCAAUCCUCGAAAACUGUCGCGAUCCUCUAUAAUUGUCGGUUAUCAAGAUGUGUGUAGACAAUUAUGCUACUGUUGUAGUUGUGUUUUUGUGUUUAAAUUAGUGUUUGUGCCAAGUAAAUCCUUUGGGACGAUUUGGAUGAAAGUUGCUUUGAUUCUGUGAGAAAACAAAACCUUUUGUGCCUAGUAACUGAAUUAUCUAAUUGACUGGUGCAUGAUAAAAUUCUGAACUUUUUACACAUGAUUGAUAUACAAAUUGCCCAUGUUGUCCUAAUUUUUCAGAAUUUUUGGAGUUACGGAAGUGUGAUAAUUGUUCAAAUCAUUACAGACUGUUCUGUUUUGACAGAUUUUUUUCGUUGCAUUGUUUGCUUGUUUUGUUGAAUCUAUGGGUUNNNNNNNNNNNNNNNNNNNNNNNNNNNNNNNNNNNNNNNNNNNNNNNNNNNNNNNNNNNNNNNNNNNNNNNNNNNNNNNNNNNNNNNNNNNNNNNNNNNNNNNNNNNNNNNNNNNNNNNNNNNNNNNNNNNNNNNNNNNNNNNNNNNNNNNNNNNNNNNNNNNNNNNNNNNNNNNNNNNNNNNNNNNNNNNNNNNNNNNNNNNNNNNNNNNNNNNNNNNNNNNNNNNNNNNNNNNNNNNNNNNNNNNNNNNNNNNNNNNNNNNNNNNNNNNNNNNNNNNNNNNNNNNNNNNNGGGGGGGGUAUAAGCCAUGGUGCAAUUAUAAUACAGUACAUAUUAUUUAAUAAUAAAAUAUGAAUGGGUUUACAACAGUACCUAAAGUGGUGAUUUGCUUGCUAUACUAACGGAUCUCACGAGUUUUCUGUUGAGUUUUGUGUGCUGAAGUUUUCAAGUUUUGAGUGAGUACGACGGUGGUUAUAUUUUAAAGAAAUAAUUGCACUCUCAUGCUUCACUUAUAUCAUUUUGAGAGUUUGUUGAAAAGUAAUGACAAUUAGUACGAGUUAUGAAUUUGGUCCUAAUAUGAUAGGUGUUCAAGAGGGAUAUAAAAAUCUUUCAUGUAGAUCACUGAAUAUGAUAAGUUUGAUUCCUUGUAAUAGUAUUGCGAUAUAAAGAUUGUGAUAUGUGGGAGGUACUAGUGAAUGAUUAUGGUUUAGUAAGAAUAUUGGUGUUAAGGCUUGUGAUUCCCGAGGCAUGCACGUAUAGUCUCUCGUUAUGCUAUGAAGUUGGAGCAUGAUUUAUCAUUGAUUAUCUUCCUUGUGAGUGGUGGCGGGUGUCGGUGUCAAAACCGGCGGAUCUCGGGUAGGGGGUCCCAAUCUGUGCAUCUAAGGCUAAUGGUAACAGGAGGCAAGGGACAUGAUGUUUUACCCAGGUUCAGGCCCUCUCGAUGGAGGUAAAACCCUACUUCCUGCUUGAUUGAUAUUGAUGAUAUGGGUAUUACAAGAGUUGAUCUACCACGAGAUCGUAGAGGCUAAACCCUAGAAGCUAGCCUAUGAUGAUUAUGGUUCUGAUCGUCCCUCUAAGGACUAAACCCUCCGGUUUAUAUAGACAUUGGAGAGGGCUAGGGUUUACAUGGAGUCGGUUACAAAGAAGGAAAUAUAAUAUUCGGAUCGCCAAGCUUGUCUUCCAUGCAAAGGAGAGUCCCAUCCGGACACGGGACGGAGUCUUGAGUCUUGUAUCUUCACGGUCCCACAGUCCAGCCAAGGUAUAUAGUCCGGCUGUCCGGAUACCCCCUAAUCCAGGACUCCCUCAGUAGCCCCUGAACUAGGCUUCAAUGACGAUGAGUCCGGUGCGCAGUUCUGUCUUCGGCAUUGCAAGGCGGGUUCCAUCUCCGAAUACUCCAUAGUAAUCACCGAACACUUAGAUCGUGUCCGGAUCUGCAAGAUGAUCUUCACAUACCACCGUAGAGAGAAUGAUAUUUCACAAGUGUAAUCUACUGACAACUUUAGACAUGACACUACGGUCGGGUCAUUAUUCGAACCGUUUUCCCACAACCAGCCAUAGCGCAUAUUGCGAGGCAGUUUCCUCGGCACGUCUUGCUGAAGCAGAGAUCAUGUCCCCUUAUUACGGGAUUCUCAUCAAUGCGGGUAUGGGUAGCCCAACCGCAUCGCUAAUUGUGGGGAACGAGUGGGUUCCACCAGGAAAGUGGGGAGGCGAAAAAAGCUUUUACCGCCUCUAUAAAGAGAUAAGGUCUCUUCCUUUUCACCCACGCCUUUUUCUUCCGCUAGUCCAUUCCCCUUUGCUCGAGCCCUAGCGCCCAAGCACUCUUCUUCUCCACCGAAGAGAGGUCCUACGAAGAUGUACAGAUCUGGAGCAGGAGGCAAAUGGAUGGCCUCUACCAUCCAGGAGAGGGAUAUCAAAAAGCUCCGAGAGGCCGGGUACUUGGCCAAGAAAAUCGGCCGCCAUCUUCCACCAGGGGACAGAUCGUCCCCACUCUGGAGCCCCACGAGAGGGUCGUGUUUCUUCCUCAUUUCGUCCGCGGGCUCGGGUUUCCCCUUCACCCAUUUGUUUGCGGCGUCAUGUAUUAUUACGGGAUUGAUUUUCAUGAUCUGUCUCCCAAUUCUUUCCUUAACAUUUCGGCGUUCAUCGUCGUAUGUGAGGCUUUUCUCCGUAUUUCACCCCACUUCGGCUUAUGGCUGAAAAUCUUCAACGUGAAGCCCAAGGUGGUGAAUGGCGAGCACGCCGAAUGCGGCGGCGCCAUGAUGAGCAAGAUGCCCUAGGUCAUAUGGCCGACGGGCACCUUCAAUGAUUCCGUCAAGGAGUGGCAGCAGCAGUGGUUCUAUAUCACCGAACCACAUGGUAAAAAGUGGGCCGUUGCUCCCGAGUUCAGAUCCGGAGCCCCACUGCGGCUCACGUCCUGGCCCGAGAAGGGCCUGAACUGAUCCUCAUCCGACGAGCUGUCAGUGCUCCAAACGCGCUCCAGAGCAUGGUCGACAAGGACGUCAAACUCGUCAACAUAGUCCAGGUGAUGUUAGUUCGCCUGGUUCUCCCUUGCUAGCGUCGAGCCUGCAAUUUGUGGGAAUACAACCCGGCCGAACACCAGACCCUACAGGAGCUCUAUGUUUAUUCUUUGUUGUGCUCUGUGCAUCUGGAAGGUGCUCUUCAAGUCUGGCAAACCGUGGCCGGGCUCCGCCGAGGACCGCGGGUAUCAACUAUCCCACUCUGCAAGUCCGGUAAGUCAUUGUUGUGCUCUGUGCAUCCGUCUUUUAGCCGGCUGUCACACCCUAGCUAGUCAAUGCAUUAGAGUGUUGCAUCAUGUUUAUUCUUUCAACAGAAACUUGAAAUGGGGAUGACAGAACCCCCAGCCCCCUCUGAAACUAACUAGGGUUUACUAAAAAUAUUUUCAAUGAACCUGAAAUGCCCUUCUAAAAUGUCCAUCAUUUUUGUCUUGGUUCAGAACCUCUGCCAAAAGUGAUGCAUAGUUUUCUAGGUCAUCCUAAGGUCUUUGAAUUAACUCAUAAGUAUUUGAGUUUGGGCAUUUAAAUUAUAUAAAUUAUUUUGAAUGCUCAAAUAUUUCCAAACUAAAAUGUUCCAUGUUGUAUAUAUUCCAGCUAGUGGCCAUGAGCAGUUUGGGAAAUUUAGGAGUUGUCUAAGUAUUUUUAAUAAGUCUACAAACCUACAGAAUAAAACAAAAAAAC
rnacentral:lncRNA from 1 species